rnacentral:misc_RNA from 1 species
GAUGAAGAACGCAGCGAAAUGCGAUAAGUAAUGUGAAUUGCAGAAUUCAGUGAAUCAUCGAAUCUUUAAACGCACAUUGCGCCCGCCAGUAUUCUGGCGGGCAUGCCUGUUCGAGCGUCAUUUCAACCAUCAAGCCCCAGGCUUGUGUUGGGGACCUGCGGCUGCCGCAGGCCCUGAAAACCAGUGGCGGGCUCGCUGUCACACCGGGCGUAGUAGAUUUUAUCUCGCUCAGGGCGUGCUGCGGGUUCCGGCCGUUAAAAAGCCUUUUUUACCCAAGGUUGACCUCGGAUCAGGUAGGAAGACCCGCUGAACUUAAGCAUAUCAAUAAGCGGAGGA